ensembl:lncRNA
GUGAUUUUGCUCACAACCAGGUUUUCAGCUGUCACCCCCCUGCUCUUUGUGCCAAGUUCUCUCGCCCAUUCUUUCUCUGGAGAGCUUCCUUCUGACCUCCAGACAUGCUCCCCGACUUGGCUAUACCCUUGGCAGAUCCGUCACACUCAGCACUUCGGGCCUGCAUCUGUCUUCUUCCUCUCCACACCUCGGGACACGCCAGGAUUUCUGUCCUGCGCUUCACAUCUCAGUGGAUUGCAACACUGCAGGCAACUGCCCAGAGAGCAAAGCGUUAUCGCAGGGGCCUUCUGUCCCCAACUUGCCAACACCGCUGACACUUUCUCUGAAAUAUAUUCACCCCUGCCCUCUAAGCAGCCUCUCUCCCCACCCCAGUCGUGCUGCCAAAACCUAGGUUCAGAUGCAGAGAGGCCGUGGCAGAUGCUUCCUCUUCCAAAGGACGCAGCUCCGAUGUGCCUUCUGGGAGGCACCACAGAGAUGCUUGGCACGCGUCUCCCACUGCCCUUCCUUCUCGACUUCACUGCAGGAAUCGCCCUGCAGUGGCACCACUUCUUCUCAAGUCUGACAGUAAGCCCCUGCAGACCAGAUGCCACAUCUUCCUACAGGCCCAGCCCAGUGAGAUUGGAUCUGAUUGUUUGUUGGUGUCAUUUAUGUCUGCAAUAGAUGUCUAAGAAUACAGCAUAAAGAUGCCCAGGUGCUCAGCCCUGCACUGAGCUGGAGAGAGGGCCGAAGGCUCACCUUUCAUGCAUUGCCAUGGACCUCGCAGCCACGGAGCAGGGAGGGGUUGACAACACCAGGAGCUCAGCCUGACACCUUCCACUCAUGUCUCCUCGGACCCUUCCUGUGCUAAUUAUGAUCCUUCUUGGAAAUAAAAAACCAAACAUUUGAUGGCAGAUACAGACAAUGAAAUCCUAUCCAGCUUUAAAAAGGAAGAGUAUUCUCACACAUGCUACAGUGUGGAUGAGCCUUGAGGACAUCAUGCUGAGUGAAAUCAGCCAGCUACAAAGGACAAACACUGUGGGAUUCCACUCAUAUGAGGUUCCUAGAAGAGGUGAAUUCAUAAAUACCAAAAACAGAAAGGUGGUUGCCAGGGGCUGGAGGGAGGGAGGGAGGGAGGGAGGAAGGAAUGGGGAGUGAAUGGGACAGAGUUUCAGUUGGGAAGAUGAGAAAGCUCUGGAGAUGGGUGGUGGUGAUGGUAGCACAACAAUGUGAACAUACUUAACACCACCAAACUGCUCAUUUAAUAAUGGUUAAAAUGGUAAAAUUUGUGUUAAGUAUUGUUUACCAUAAUAAAACUUAAAAAAAAAAAACAAAACAGAAACCAUUUGCACAGCCUCUCUUACAUGGAGGAAGGUGACCUGGAGGGGUAGAGAAACAUGGUUAGUGUCAUGGGAACACAAAGGAAUGUGACAAUCCUGUCUUUGAGGAGCUUGCAGGUUGUGGGGGGAGAGAUGGAUUUGACAACAAUAAUUGGGAAAACGCAGAUGCAGAAGGAGGGAAAGAGGGAGGCUGAAUCAGAACUCAGAGGAAGGAGCUGUUGGAGUCUGAGGGCUCAGGGCAGGAAUUCUGGAAGAAGAAAUGCUUGCCUGGGGCUCCCAAGGUGUAUUAGUCUGUUUUUAAACUGCUGAUAAAGACAUACCUGAAGCUGGGAAAUUUACAAAAGAAAGAGGUUUAUUGGACAUACAGUUCCAUGUGGCCUGGGAGGCCUCACAAUCAUGGUGGAAGGUGAAAGGCACGUCUCACAUGGUGGCAGACAAGAGAAGAGAACUUGUGCAGGGAAACUCUGCUUUUAAAAAUCAUCAUAUCCUGUGAGAGUUAUUCACUAUCAUGAGAACAGCACAGGAAAGACCAGUCCCUAUGAUUCAAUUACCUCCCACUGGGUGCCUCGCACAACACGUGUGAAUCCACAAUUAGAUUUUGGUGAGGACACAGCCAAACCAUAUCACAUGGUCUGGUGGGAUCUUGCAUUUUGAAGAGUGGGAGUGAGGCUGAGCUCAGCGAGGUGGGGACCAGAGCAAAACACUUGCUGGGGGCUGGUGCUGAGGCCCUGGAGGAGCAACCUAGGCAGAAGAGUGGGUUCCUAAGGAGAGCGGAGGGAGGUUGUGGUGGCUACAGACCAUGGGAGUCCUGACUUUUUUUUUUUUUUUAAUGAACUUUCUAAUUUUGGAAUAAAUUUAGAAUUACCAAAAAGUUGCAAAGAUAAUGCAGAGAGGUCCCAUAUACCCCUCAGCCAGUUUCCCCUAGGGUUAAGAUCUUACAUUACUGUGGUACAUUUGUACAACUAAUGAGCCAAUAUUGAUAUAUUCUUAACUAAAGUCCUCACGUUAUUAAGAUUUCAUUAGUUUUCCCUACUGUCCUUUUGCAGGAUUCCAUCCAGAAUACCCAACUUGCACCCAUCCAAAGUCGCAAAGCUAUCCCAGUACACUCCACAAUCAGUUUCCCUUAUUAUUAUGAAUAUCUCAUAUUAGGGUGGUACAUUUGUUACAAUUAAUGAACCAGUAUUGAUACAUUAUCAUUAAUAAAA